rnacentral:rRNA from 1 species
AGCAGCCGCGGUAAUUCCAGCUCCAAUAGCGUAUAUUAAAGUUGUUGCAGUUAAAAAGCUCGUAGUUGAAUUUCGGGAUCAAAUUGUUGGUCGUGCUUCGGUACGCACUGGCAUUAUUGGUUUCUACCUUCUGAAGAACCGCGAUGUCAUUAAUUUGGUGUCGUGGGGAAUCAGGACUGUUACUUUGAAAAAAUUAGAGUGUUUAAAGCAGGCGCACGCUUGAAUACAUUAGCAUGGAAUAAUGAAAUAGGACGUUUGAUUCUAUUUUGUUGGUUUCUAGGAUCGACGUAAUGAUUAAUAGGGAUAGUUGGGGGCAUCAGUAUUCAAUUGUCAGAGGUGAAAUUCUUGGAUUUAUUGAAGACUAACUACUGCGAAAGCAUUUGCCAAGGAUGUUUUCAUUAAUCAAGAACGAAAGUUAGGGGAUCGAAGACGAUCAGAUACCGUCGUAGUCUUAACCAUAAACUAUGCCGACUAGGAAUCGGGCGAUGUUGAAAAAAUGACGC